AGGGGGUUAAGUAUAAGGCCAGCUGCUAACUAGGUAUUAAAGCGGUUAAACUCCGUUUCCCCCCUU
rnacentral:tRNA from 1 species